AAGUUUCCUAAAUGCAUCUGCUGACAAAGGAUGUUUGCUCCAUCCCAGGAUUGCCUUCUGCUGCUGGAAGUGUUUCGGCCCUUGCAGCAGUCCCAGGACAGAGACGUGAAUGUCUGCGGCAGCCCUGAGGACAGGAUGCGAAAUGCUCCAGCUCACAGCUUCUGCAUGACUGCCAUCCCUGCCAGCCACCAUGCUGCAGCCCUCAGGUUCCCAUCUGCUGAGAGACACUAAUGAAGUCAUCUUAAUCAGGAUGCAGGUUUGCAGCACCCGGCUGCAGCAUUGGAAACAGGUUUGGAGAUCCCUGCUCUGCUUCCAGGCAGGCCUGGUGCUUUGUGCUGGAGGAACACGGAGUGCUGCUGUGCUGAGCAAGUACUACAACCUAUUCUGUAAG
ensembl:lncRNA